GGGAGUAUAGCUCAGUGGUAGAGCGUUCGACCGAAGAUCGAGAGGUCCCUGGUUCAAAUCCAUGUGUUAUCU
rnacentral:tRNA from 1 species